GUAGUUCAGUUGGUUAGAAUGCCGCCCUGUCACGGCGGAGGUCGAGGGUUCGAGUCCCUUC
rnacentral:tRNA from 1 species